rnacentral:lncRNA from 1 species
CAGCCAAUCCAUAACCACAGAUGAGGAAGAAGUCAUUCUUUUCAAGCCCAUCACAAGACAUAACUCCGCACCAAUAUAUACAUCAGGCACCUCAUGCGAUCAAUCCUCCCUCAAUGUUGUCAACGGAACAACACCUUUUGAUGAAUCUUUGCGCCGUGCCUCAUCAUUGAUUUCUGAGCAAAGCCAACCACAUAAUGAUAUUUUCAGUUUCCGCCCGGAAAAUACAAACUUGAGGUACAGCAAGCCACUCAAGCAAUCAUCAAUAUUAUCAAUGGAACUACACCUUCUGAUGAAUCUUUGCGUCGUGCCACAUCAUUGAUUUCUGAGCAAAGCCAACCACAGAAUGAUAUUUUCAGUUUCCGCCCGGAAAAUACAAACUUGAGGUACAGCAAGCCACUCAAGCAAUCUGCCGCUUUGCCUGC